rnacentral:rRNA from 1 species
GGUACACGCAAGGCAGCUUGCUGCUUCGCUGACGAGUGGCGCACGGUUGAGUAAUAGUCUGGGAAACUGCCUGAUGGAGGGGGAUAACUACUGGAAACGGUAGCUAAUACCGCAUAACGUCGCAAGACCAAAGAGGGGGACCUUCGGGCCUCUUGCCAUCGGAUGUGCCCAGAUGGGAUUAGCUAGUAGGUGGGGUAACGGCUCACCUAGGCGACGAUCCCUAGCUGGUCUGAGAGGAUGACCAGCCACACUGGAACUGAGACACGGUCCAAACUCCUACGGGAGGCAGCAGUGGGGAAUAUUGCACAAUGGGCGCAAGCCUGAUGCAGCCAUGCCGCGUGUAUGAAGAAGGCCUUCGGGUUGUAAAGUACUUUCAGCGGGGAGGAAGGGAGUAAAGUUAAUACCUUUGCUCAUUGACGUUACCCGCAGAAGAAGCACCGGCUAACUCCGUGCCAGCAGCCGCGGUAAUACGGAGGGUGCAAGCGUUAAUCGGAAUUACUGGGCGUAAAGCGCACGCAGGCGGUUUGUUAAGUCAGAUGUGAAAUCCCCGGGCUCAACCUGGGAACUGCAUCUGAUACUGGCAAGCUUGAGUCUCGUAGAGGGGGGGUAGAAUUCCAGGUGUAGCGGUGAAAUGCGUAGAGAUCUGGAGGAAUACCGGUGGCGAAGGCGGCCCCCUGACGAAGACUGACGCUCAGGUGC